rnacentral:rRNA from 1 species
CCACGGGAGGCAGCAGUGGGGAAUAUUGGACAAUGGGCGAAAGCCUGAUCCAGCCAUGCCGCGUGUGUGAAGAAGGCCUUCGGGUUGUAAAGCACUUUCAGUGGGGAAGAAAGCCUUGGGGCUAAUACCCUCGAGGAAGGACAUCACCCACAGAAGAAGCACCGGCUAACUCCGUGCCAGCAGCCGCGGUAAUACGGAGGGUGCGAGCGUUAAUCGGAAUUACUGGGCGUAAAGCGCGCGUAGGCGGUCUGAUAAGCCGGUUGUGAAAGCCCCGGGCUCAACCUGGGAACGGCAUCCGGAACUGUCAGGCUAGAGUGCAGGAGAGGAAGGUAGAAUUCCCGGUGUAGCGGUGAAAUGCGUAGAGAUCGGGAGGAAUACCAGUGGCGAAGGCGGCCUUCUGGACUGACACUGACGCUGAGGUGCGAAAGCGUGGGUAGCAAACAGGAUUAGAUACCCUUGUAGUC